GGAGAAGUGGCAGAGCGGUUUAAUGCAGCAGUCUUGAAAACUGUCGACCCCUAAAAAGGUCCGUGAGUUCGAAUCUCACCUUCUCCGCCA
rnacentral:tRNA from 1 species